CUUAAAGGAGCAUGAGUAUCGCCUCCUGGCCCGCCUUGAGGAGCUAGACUUGGCCAUCUACAAUAGCAUCAAUGGUGCCAUCACCCAGUUCUCUUGCAACAUCUCCCACCUCAGCAGCCUGAUCGCUCAGCUAGAAGAGAAGCAGCAGCAGCCCACCAGGGAGCUCCUGCAG
rnacentral:misc_RNA from 1 species